rnacentral:tRNA from 1 species
GGAGAGAUGCCAGAGUGGUUGAAUGGGACGGUCUCGAAAACCGUUGUACUCGUAAGGGUACCGAGGGUUCGAAUCCCCCUCUCUCCGCCA